rnacentral:rRNA from 1 species
UACGUAGGGUGCAAGCGUUAAUCGGAAUUACUGGGCGUAAAGCGUGCGCAGGCGGUCAUGCAAGACAGAUGUGAAAUCCCCGGGCUUAACCUGGGAACUGCAUUUGUGACUGCAUCGCUGGAGUGCGGCAGAGGGGGAUGGAAUUCCGCGUGUAGCAGUGAAAUGCGUAGAUAUGCGGAGGAACACCGAUGGCGAAGGCAAUCCCCUGGGCCUGCACUGACGCUCAUGCACGAAAGCGUGGGGAGCAAACAGG